UUCCCCAAACCCUUUCUCUAUUCUUUCACUCCCCCAAUCUGAAGGAAAACAAAAGAGCCAUUGUUCCUCAAACCCUUUCCCACGUCUCAAAAUAUUAGCAGUGGAACUUCAAUCACUGCUAAUAUUAUUUACUAUUGUUCAAGUAAUCUGUUCUAUUGGCAUUGUUUUUAAUUUUAUUCAGAUGUAUUGCCAUUUGCUUCAGUCAGAGUAAUUUCUCCCCACAGGUACAAAACCCAAAAAUUGACAGUAUUUGUAGAUUUGGGGUUAAAAAGCAACAGUAGCUUUGUGUGAAUAUUGUUCAUUGUCUGAUAUGCCGAGGCCCCAACGUUACCAGAACUUCCAAAAGUCAGUUCAGUCAGUUUCAGCUUCCGCUUUAGCUUCAACUUCCGGUUCAGCUACUGUUUCAGCUUCAGCUUCACCACAUCUGACAUCAUUUCUUCCGCCAACACCACAGCUGACACCUUCAGUUCAUGCUAUAGCACAUGUGGCCCCAGUUGUUCAUGUCACAGAACAUGUGACCUCGUCAGUUCAUGCUGCAGUACAGCCGGAUCCGUCCGUACAGACUACAACACAAUCAACUCCAUCAGUUCAAGCUGCAUCACAACGCGGAAGGCGUGGUGCACGUGAGUCUACGUCGCAUUGGACAGUAGAUGCAAUAGGACAUCUGAAUCAAAUGCACGGCUAUAUGUUUAUACUUCUAUUGUAAAGAAGUGAGCUGCAAAUAGGCUAAAGAUGUGGUAUGCGUUCAAUGACCCACUUAAGAGCAGUGAUGAGAUUAUGGAUAAUGUUCCGGAUGGGAUUCCACGAGAUCAAUGGACUACUUACUGCAAUUACCGUUUUAAAGAAAAAAACUAAGGAAACAUGUAAAAGAAAUGCUGAAAUUCGAAAGCUGCAAACUGUUUCACAUAUCGGUGGAUCCAAGCCUAACUCUAGAAGAAGAGAAGAUUGAGACUGGACAAAAUCCUGGACGAGCACAACUUUAUCUUGCUACUCAUAGGAAAAAUGAUGGAUCAUAUGUUAAUGACGCGGCAAAAGAGAUAUGUGAAAAGAUUGACCAAACUUUGAGUUAAAGCACCAUAGAUGAGUCUGAAAUUUCGCCAAAUGAUGUUGUUGGUAAGGUGCUAGGAAAAGAGCACUCUGGAAGAGUAAGGUGCUUGGGAUUAGGAGUUGUCCCUAGCAGAGCUUUUAAACACACAACGACACGAUUUGGUGUUAUGAAUGGUUCAAGUUAUAAUAAUGGUUCGUGUUCUUCUGUGUGCCAAGAUAAGUACAAACAAGUUUUGGAUGCUCACAAUGAAAGCAAAGAGAAUUACGCUCAAAUUAUGAAUGCUCACACUCAAAUGAUGAAUGCUUUCAAGGCCUAUAUGAUAAUGAAAGAAGGGAGGAUACAUGAAGAAUUUGCUGGGAUCUUUGUUCCUCCUCCUGCUACAACGGUAAAUGAUACAACUAGAAGAUCCAUUUCACCCAUGGGCUUUAGAAGAUCAUCUGAAGGUAGUGAUUCCAGUGACAACAAUUGAAGUUCCUUACAAGUGUAUUAGAUAAUUAAGUAUGAUACUGGAUUGAAUGGUUGAAGUAAAUAUUUUGUGUGUAAUAGCUGCAGUAGAUGUUUUGCACUUAAUGGCUGGAGUAGAUAUUUUACACUUAAUAGGUGAAGUAGAUGUGGUGUUUAAAGCUAGUUUUGAGACUAAAGAUAAUUCUUAUGUUA